rnacentral:tRNA from 1 species
AGUGGGAUGGCUGAGGUAAAAUUAGGCGAUAGGCUGUAAAUCUAUUUAGGAACGUUUAUAUUGUUCUUCCACUA